rnacentral:rRNA from 1 species
AUUGAACGCUGGCGGCAGGCCUAACACAUGCAAGUCGAACGAGUGGCGGACGGGUGAGUAAUGUCUGGGAAACUGCCCGAUGGAGGGGGAUAACUACUGGAAACGGUCGCUAAUACCGCAUACCAUCAGAUGUGCCCAGAUGGGAUGAGCUGGUGGGUGGGGUAACGGCUAACCAAGGGGACGAUCCCUAGCGGGUCUGAGAGGAUGACCGGCCACACUGGAACUGAAACACGGUCCAGACUCCUACGGGAGGCAGCAGGGGGGAAUAUUGGAAAAUGGGCGAAAGCCUGAUGAAGCAAUGCGGGGUGUAUGAAGAAGGCCUUCGGGUUGUAAAGUACUUUCAGCGGGGAGGCGUUACCCGAAGAAGAAGCACCGGCUAACUCCGUGCCAGCAGCCGCGGUAAUAC